UACAGAGGUCUCAAGCGUUGUUCGGAUUCAUUGGGCGUAAAGGGCGCGUAGGCUGCGGGGUAAGUCGGGUGUGAAAUCUCAGAGCUCAACUCUGAAACUGCACUCGAUACUGCUUUGCUUGAGGACUGGAGAGGAGAUUGGAAUUCACGGUGUAGCAGUGAAAUGCGUAGAUAUCGUGAGGAAGACCAGUGGCGAAGGCGGAUCUCUGGACAGUACCUGACGCUGAGGCGCGAAGGCCAGGGGAGCAAACGGG
rnacentral:rRNA from 1 species